rnacentral:rRNA from 1 species
UGAACUUGUGUUGCCAUGGAUUCGGAUAUUGGGCGUAAGAGCUCGUAGGCGGUUUGUCGCGUCUGCUGUGAAAUCCGGAGGCUCAACCUCCGGCCUGCAGUGGGUACGGGCAGACUAGAGUGCGGUAGGGGAGAUUGGAAUUCCUGGUGUAGCGGUGGAAUGCGCAGAUAUCAGGAGGAACACCGAUGGCGAAGGCAGAUCUCUGGGCCGUAACUGACGCUGAGGAGCGAAAGGGUGGGGAGCAAACAGGCUUAGAUACCCUGGUAGUCCACCCCGUAAACGUUGGGAACUAGUUGUGGGGUCCAUUCCACGGAUUCCGUGACGCAGCUAACGCAUUAAGUUCCCCGCCUGGGGAGUACGGCCGCAAGGCUAAAACUCAAAGGAAUUGACGGGGACCCGCACAAGCGGCGGAGCAUGCGGAUUAAUUCGAUGCAACGCGAAGAACCUUACCAAGGCUUGACAUAUACGAGAACGGGCCAGAAAUGGUCAACUCUUUGGACACUCGUAAACAGGUGGUGCAUGGUUGUCGUCAGCUCGUGUCGUGAGAUGUUGGGUUAAGUCCCGCAACGAGCGCAACCCUCGUUCUAUGUUGCCAGCACGUAAUGGUGGGAACUCAUGGGAUACUGCCGGGGUCAACUCGGAGGAAGGUGGGGAUGACGUCAAAUCAUCAUGCCCCUUAUGUCUUGGGCUUCACGCAUGCUACAAUGGCCGGUACAAAGGGCUGCAAUACCGCGAGGUGGAGCGAAUCCCAAAAAGCCGGUCCCAGUUCGGAUUGAGGUCUGCAACUCGACCUCAUGAAGUCGGAGUCGCUAGUAAUCGCAGAUCAGCAACGCUGCGGUGAAUACGUUCCCGGGUCUUGUACACACCGCCCGUCAAGUCAUGAAAGUCGGUAACACCUGAAGCCGGUGGUCUAACUCUUGUGGAGGGAGCCGUCGAAGUGGGAUCGGUAUUUAGGACUAAGUCGUACCAAAGGUCACCCA